AAGUGAGUCUGGGAGGGAUGGCGUAGCUGUAUCAAUUAAUGACAGUUUAUAUAUUGCUGUCAGGAAGUGAGUCAGGGAGAGAUGGUGUAGCUGUAAUAAUUAAUGACAGCUUAUGUAUUGCUGUUAGGAAGUGAGUCUGGGAUGGAUGGUGUAGCUGUAUUAAUUAAUGACAGUUUAUAUAUUGCUGUUUGGAAGUGAGUCUGGGAGAGAUGACGAAGCUGUAUCAACUAAUGACAGUUUAUAUAUUGCUGUUAGUAAGUGAGUCUGGGAGGGAUGGUGUAGCUGUAUUAAUUAAUGACAGUUUAUAUAUUGCUGUUAGGAAGUGAGUCAGGGAGAGAUGGUGUAGCUGUAAUAAUUAAUGACAGCUUAUGUAUUGCUGUUAGGAAGUGAGGCUGGGAGAGAUGGUGUAGCUGUAUCAAUUAAUGACAGCUUAAGUAUUGCUGUUAAGAAGCGAGUUUGGGAGAGAUGGUGUAGCUGUAUCAAUUAAUGACAGAUUAUAUAUUGCAGUUAAGAAGUGAGUCUGGGAGAGAUGGUGUAGCUGUAAUAAUUAAUGACAGCUUAUGUAUUGCUGUUAGGAAGUGAGUCUGGGAUGGAUGGUGUAGCUGUAUUAAUUAAUGACAGUUUAUAUAUUGCUGUUAGGAAGUGGGUCUGGGAGGGAUGGUGUAGCUGUAUUAAUUAAUGACAGUUUAUAUCUUGCUGUUUGGAAGUGAGUCUGGGAGAGAUGAUGAAGCUGUAUCAACUAAUGACAGUUUAUAUAUUGCUGUUAGGAAGUGAGUCAGGGAGAGAUGGUGUAGCUGUAAUAAUUAAUGACAGCUUAUGUAUUGCUGUUAGGAAGUGAGUCUGGGGGAGAUGGUGUAGCUGAAUUAUUUAUGAGAGUUUAUAUAUUGCUGUUGUAGCUGUAUCAAUCAAUGACAGUUUAUGUAUUGCUGUUAGGAAGUGAGUUUGGGAGAGAUGGUGUAGCUGUAUCAAUUGAUGACAGUUUAUAUAUUGCUGUUAGGAGAUGAGUCUGGGAGAGAUGGUGUAGCUGUAUUAAUAAAUGACAGUUUAUAUAUUGCUGUUAGGAAGUGAGUCUGGGAUAGAUGGUGUAGCUGUAUCAACUAAUGACAGUUUAUAUAUUGCUGUUAAGAAGUGAGUUUGGGAGAAAUGGUGUAGCUGUAUUAAUCAAUGACAGUUGAUGUAUUGCUGUUAGGAAGUGAGUCUGGGAUAGAUGGUGUUGCUGUAUCAAUUAAUGACAGAUUAUAUAUUGCAGUUAAGAAGUGAGUCUGGGAGAGAUGGUGUAGCUGUAUUAAUUGAUGACAGUUUAUGUAUUGCUGUUAGGAAGUGAGUCUGGGGGAGAUGGUGUAGCUGUAUUAAUUAAUGACAGUUUGUGUAUUGCUGUUAGGAAGUGAGUCUGGGUGAGGUGGUGUAGCUGUAUCAAUUAAUGACAGAUUAUAUAUUGCAGUUAAGAAGUGAGUCUGGGAGAGAUGGUGUAGCUGUAUUAAUUAAUGACAGUUCAUGUAUAGCUGUUAGAAAGUGAGUCUGGGAGAGAUGGUGUAGCUGUAUUAAUUGAUGACAGUUGAUGUAUUGCUGUUAGGAAGUGAGUCUGGGUGAGAUGGUGUAGCUGUAUCAAUCAAUGACAGUUGAUGUAUUGCUGUUAGGAAGUGAGUCAGGGAUAGAUGGUGUAGCUGUAUCAAUUAAUGACAGUUUAUAUAUUGCUGUUAAGAAGUGAGUUUGGGAGAGAGAGAUGGUGUAGCUGUAUCAAUUAUUGACAGUUUAUAUAUUGCUGUUAGGAAGUGAGUCUGGGAGAGAUGGUGUAGCUGUAUCAAUUAAUGGCAGUUUAUGUAUUGCUGUUAGGAAGUGAUUCUGGGUGAGAUGGUGUAGCUGUAUCAAUUAAUGGCAGUUUAUGUAUUGUUGUUAGGAAGUGAGUCUGGGAGAGAUGGUGUAGCUGUAUUAAUUAAUGACAGUUUAUAUAUUGCUGUUAGGAGGUGAGUCUGUUGGAUAUGGUGUAGCUGUAUUAAUUGAUGACAGUUUAUGUAUUGCUGUUAGGAAGUGAGUCUGGGGGAGAUUGUGUAGCUGUAUUAACUAAUGACAGUUUAUAUAUUGCUGUUAGGAUGUGAGUCUGGAAGAGAUGGUAUAGCUGUAUCAAUUAAUGACAGUUUAUGUAUUGCUGUUAGGAAAUGAGUCUGGGAGAGAUGGUGCAGCUGUAUAAACUAAUGACAGUUUAUGUAUUGCUGUUAGGAAGUGAGUCUGGGAGAGAUUGUGUAGCUGUAUUAAUUAUGACGGUUUAUAUGUUGCUGUUGUAGCUGUAUUAAUUAAUGACAGUUUAUGUAUUGCUGUUAGGAAGUGAGUCUGGGAGAGAUGGUGCAUCUGUAUCAAUUAAUGACAGUUUAUGUAUUGCUGUUAGGAAGUGAGUCUUGGAUAGAUGGUGUAGCUGUUUCAAUUAAUGACAGUUUAUAUAUUGCUGUUAGGAAGUGAGUCUUGGAGAGAUGGUGGAGCUGUAUCAAUUAAUGACAGUUUAUAUAUUGCUGUUAGGAAGUGAGUCUGGGGGAGAUGGUGCAUCUGUAUCAAUUAAUGACAGUUUAUGUAUUGCUGUUAGGAAGUGAGUCUGGGAGAGAUGGGGUAGCUGUAUCAAAUAAUGAUAGUUUAUGUAUUGCUGUUAGGAAGUGAGUCUGGGAGAGAUGGUGUAGCAAU
rnacentral:misc_RNA from 1 species